CUCAAAGGGCUGGCAUGGUUAGAAUCUCGCUGGGGCCUCCAGAAAUGUUGCAGAAACAAGACCGGCGAGAAACCAAACACCACUCGGAGAGUUGGAGAACUCAGGUUUAUUA
rnacentral:miRNA from 1 species